UCAAUGAGUGACCUUGAGCCACCUAAGGU
rnacentral:piRNA from 1 species